UGGUGGAGUGAUUUGUCUGGUUAAUUCCGUUAACGAACGAAACCUUAGCCUGCUGAAUAGCUUCUCGAAAAUUUUAUUUUCGUGCUAAGCUUCUUAGAGGGACUUUAAUGUGUUUAACUUAAGGAAGUUUGAGGCAAUAACA
rnacentral:rRNA from 1 species